GUGCUUACUUCUGCAGCACAUAUACUAAAAUUAGAACGAUACAGAGAUUAGCAUGGUUCCUGCACAAGGAUGACAUACAAAUUCGUGAAGUGUUCCAUAUUUUA
ensembl:snRNA U6 U6 spliceosomal RNA